CUAUUGAUGUGGUGGAAGUUGUCAAUCCAGAUCAGAACGCCUUCGACCUUCAGGCACGGCUGAGAAGGAUGUGGAGGUUUUCGACCAGGUGAGACUGAACAUGGACAAGGCGCAGGAAAAACAGAAGGAGAGCUACCAGAGCCGAAUCAAGAGGGGGACCAAGAGCUAUGACAUCCGGGUGAAUUACUUGGUUUGGAAGAAGGACGAAAGGAAGGCGAGACCUGGGAAACCUUGCUGCUCCUUCGCUCCUAGCUGGGAUCACCAUCUGUUAAAGGUUACCUCGGUGGAAGCCAACAAUCAUCCACAGUUGGAGCAGUUGGACGGUCGACCACUGGAAGCACUGACGCCCUACACUUCGCUGAAGCCCAAUAGACAA